UCCACUGUUGUAGGAGGGUCUUGUGCUUUGUGUAUUCAGAAGCUGAUUUCUUUGGCUUAAGAUGAAGUUACAGUCCAGACAUGGACAUUGUCAUGAAUAUUGGAGAAUCUUCUGUAUUAAUUUGGUGUAAAGAAUGUUCCUCAAUUAUCUUUGAUAGGUUAAUAUAAGGCUGAACAGCUAAUGACUGGGCAGAGAAGAUAGAAAGGCUGGAAUUCUGAUCCCAGACAGGGAUCUUCCAAGGGAGAAGAGCCAGGAGAAGGAGUUCACAAUAAGGCAGGAGAUGGUCUAGAGGAAGAAAUUGGCCACAAGGAAGGUGGAGGAAGGAGGAAGAGGAGAAGGAAGAGGAGGUCACCAUGAGGCUGGGCAUGAGGAAGUUCUCCAUGAGGACAGACAUGGAGCACAGCAAGUCAAGGAGAGACAAAAAUACAGGGUUGAGCUGCUUUUGUUGGGAUUCCAUAGAGAGAAACACACCAAAAAAUUUCUGGUAGUGUACUGCAGUUUGUUGCCGCUUUCACAGACUCAAGCUGAUUGAAUGCAUGUGAAGGAUAUGUUAUGUUUGAAGGGUAUAAAUAGGAUUCCAUGGAGUGACAGAAACAGAGCUUGACUUACAGGUGCCCCCUGCUGACUUGAGCCUACGCUGAGGCCUGGCUGCCACUGCUAUUGUUAACCUGACUUACAGAACUGGACUGCUGAUUGCUGGUGUAUCUGUAAAGUUUUUGUGAGUGGAUCAAGCUGCUGCAGCCUGCUAAACUGUGAACUGACCUGCUGAUUUCCAGAUAACACAGAUGUAAAUUGCUCCAAAGAACCUUUCUAAACAGGUCCACUUCCCUGUAUCCUCUCUUUUCCAUUACCUCUGGUG